rnacentral:tRNA from 2 species
GUCAAGUUGCCAGAGUGGUUAAUGGGUAUGACUCGAAAGACGAUAUCAUAUGACUUCGGUCGCACAGGUUCAAAUCCUGUACUUGACG